rnacentral:rRNA from 1 species
ACGCGCCAAACCUUACCAGCCCUUGACAUGCCUGGACCGGCGCAGAGAUGCGCUUUCCUCUUCGGAGGCCGGGACACAGGUGCUGCAUGGCUGUCGUCAGCUCGUGUCGUGAGAUGUUGGGUUAAGUCCCGCAACGAGCGCAACCCUCAUCGUCAGUUGCCAUCAUUUGGUUGGGCACUCUGGCGAAACUGCCGCUGACAAGGCGGAGGAAGGCGGGGAUGACGUCAAGUCCUCAUGGCCCUUACGGGCU